rnacentral:lncRNA from 1 species
AUGUUGUUUAGAGGCAAUGCUAAUACAUUCCAACUUAUUACUCUAUUGGUCUGAGAGGUAAUUUUCCAUGAAAUUAAGCUCUUUCAAAAUCUAUAAAAUACUUUAUUUUUUUUUAAAAAAAAUCUCCUAAUCAUUAGCACCAUUGACACCCUUUAUACAUACAGGAGCAGGUGAACAUUUAGAGGGCUGUAGCUGGUUUCAAGUACAUCCCUCCUUUCUGCAGGCUAGACCCUCCCUGAGCUUGGCUGCUCUCCAGUGUGCUUGGUAGAGCAUGAAGCACCAUCCAAGCUCUGGCUUGAGCACUGCUGCCUACAAUGUCCUUAAACAUUCAACCUUUGACUGGUUGGACUGAUCUGAAACAUGCAAGGCCAAAUUAAGAGUCAGCACCUUGCCACCAAAAUCUCUCAGAUAUUAAAGCACAUUCAUCUCUGAGGAGCAGUUGUCUUGGAUCAGGUGGAGAUUGGCACAAGGGAAUUGCAGACUGGCUUCCUGACUGAGUUUUGCUGGCCAUGCAGAGUGCCUUCAAACAGUCCCUGCUCUGUAAAGCCAUCAUGUAGGAUCGCAGGGUAACUCAGGUUGGAAACAGCAUCAGCAUGUCUCUAGUCCAACCUUCUGCUCAAAGAAUGUUCAGCUAUGAGGUUGGGGUAGGUUGGUAACAUCUUUAUCCAAUUGUACUCCCAAAAAUUCCAAGGAUGGAGACAGCUCUGUCUCUCAGGACAUCUCAUAGCUUGAUUGUCUUCAUGGUAAAAUAUUUCUUCUUUCAAAUAAUGUCAGCUGUCUCCUGUCAUCCUGCAGUGGCUCUUACUGCUGUAAAGUCUCUGGAUCUCCGAUUUUGUCUUAUCAAUAUCAGCCUCUUAGAUCCUUUUGUGGUCAAGCUGGAGUGUUCACUGAAGUGCAGCAGCCAGGAGCCUGCUGACCUGCCCAGAGUCAGAAAGGACACUGCAGGUUCUGCAAGAGUCCCUGCAGAGGUGCCUGGCUGACACUGCAGGUUCUGCAAGAGUCCCUGCAGAGGUGCCUGGCUGGGUCUGUCUGAGGGCAUGCAACUUUCAACAACUUUGCAGUUUGGAAGUUGAACCCACUUCAUUCCUGACUUCCCUCCAGCUGAUCCGCACAGUAUCCUUCGUGCUGGAGUUCAUAGGUCUCUCUUCUCCUCUGGCUGGUUUAGCUGCUGAGUUAUUGAAGACCAUGGGUAAUGAAAGAUGCCUGUGUUACCCUCCCUUGCACAGUCUGUACUUCAAGGCUUCGGUCAGGAAUCCUAUAUGUUAAAAAAAUAGGGAAACAAAGAACCAAAGGCAUCUUGAACAUACACACUGUAACUAAAGGAAAAGAAAGAGUCAGAGCCACCACUUGAGAACAUGUGAGUCAAUAAAGUUUUCUAAAAGAAGCCCA